rnacentral:pre_miRNA from 1 species
ACUAGAAUGGCAGGGUCAUAUGGUAAGUUUCUAUUUAUAAGAAACUUCCAAACUCUUUUUCAAAGUAAUUGUACUAUUUUACAUUUCCACUGAUGAU